UCGCCUGUUUAUCAAAAACAUCGCUUAAUUUUUAAGUAAAGCCUGCUCAGUGAAAAAUUUUUAACAGCCAGUGUAUGCUAAGGUAGCAUAAUAAUUUGCUUUAUAAAUGAAAGAUAGAAUGAAAGGUUAAUCUUAAUUAAAUUAUUAAAAUUUAUAAUUAAAUUUUUUACGCCGGUGAAAAAUCCGAUUCGUAUUUUUUAGACGAUAAGACCCUAUGAAGCUUUACUAUAAACUAGUUUUUUUGGGGCAAAAAAUAAUAUUUGUAUUUUUCUUUAGGAACUUUUUGAUCUUCAAGAAUUUUAAGAAAAAGCUACUCUAGGGAUAACAGCAUAAUUUUUAUAAAAGUUCUUAUUAAAAUAGAAGUUUGUGACCUCGAUGUUGA
rnacentral:rRNA from 1 species